ensembl:lncRNA
GGCGCUUGGAAUAACCCCCGUGUGCGUAUGAGUGUGUGUGUGCGUGUGUAUGUGUCUCCUGAUUUCACCCUGACACACGCACACAUACACACUCACAACACAGUCAGACGCACACAUUUACUGUCUGUCUGACUGCAGGAGUGGAGCUCUGGCAGCAGAAAUCCGCUCGCAGAGGAUUCCUUCCAAUUUUACGCGCAACUUUUCCUCGCCGGCUUCUUCUCUGCGGCGUUUCCAGCGCUCCCCCCUCGAUUGUUGUGGAUUUCUAACAACCACCCCCUGGCUGUUUGUAGCGGAGCGACGAGCGAAGCUCGCCCGGAAUCGGAUCUGCUGUCACCGGGCUGCUUGUUGUCAUUUUCGCACGGAGACGCGCAGCCGGAGCGCAGACAGAAGGGGCAAUUUGUGGACUUGAUAAACGGACCAGAAAGCAAACGGUUGCACCAGUCUUCACUUCAUCUCCGUCGCCAGUUUGGACAGGCGGUUGCCAGCACUGCACAGGUUUUGCAUUUUUCUUCAUAUUCAUUCAGAGAUGCUGGUUUCAGGCUUUCGCCUUCUUGCCACUCAUCCUUUGAAUGGGAUGAUGCCUGCUGCUCCACUUUGUAUGCGUUAAAGAAUUGAAAAAAGUUCUGCUUUAUUGCACCCGUGCUGCCACUAACCAAUCAAAUCGUGUUAUGAAUAUGUGCUAAUACAUAUGUACAGUCACUGGCCAUGUUUAUAAUCUGAAAGCAUCUUUAAACUUCCUGUAAACACAAC